AAUGUGUAUAUUUAAAAAAAAAAAUUAAAAGUAGGACACCAUUUUAUUCAAUAUAAUCGCUUCUUUCUAAUUAUGUAAGGCUGGGCACUGUAUCUCGUUGUCCUUGACCACUAGACCAAAAAUAGUCCUUAGUUGCAAUUUGUUUUAUACUUCCUCGUUAUGCAGAUGUAGCUGAUGUAAAAUGGCUAGCUAGUUAGCGGGAUCGGGGCGAGGGGACGGACGUAAAAUCUAUACUGUUACACAGACAUAAGCGCAGUUGACACCAUCGAGGUGAGUAUGUUUACCUUCUCCACAAGUUUUUUUUUCUCUCUGUUUCGUUCCUAAGAACAAAUUGUAGUGGUAAUAUGAAAAUGGAUAAAACAUUUGUUGUGCCAUUUCGGCUAAAAUGAAUUCCAAGCGUAAUUCCAGUCAAAAUAGGCAAAACACGUAUGAUUAAAUUAAUUUGCUAUGGGCUCGCGCUAGUGUUCCAGUUUAGCCAACGUUCUAUUGCCGUUUUUCAGCCUUGAGUGAAUUUUGACUCGUUCUGUUGUCCCGCCUAUUCGAAGAGCUAGAAAAUGGAUGAGCACGGACGAACAACGUUUAUGAAUUUAUGUACUCUCUAUAGUACUGCAUCGUUACACCUCAAAAUAGCUAGAACCAGGUGUUGGAACAAAUGAUUUGUGUUGUUUUGAAUAUAACCAAUUUCAGGCAGACAUUGGAAUUAUUUUGAGUGACAGUGAGGACAAAGCACUGUUCCACCAACUGUUGGGCGAAUUUGGCACAUGGGUGGAUUUAUUUGGCCCUGCAAUUUAAUGUUUUUUUUUUUAUUGUUGUACAUAACAGACUGGAAAAACACCAGGAAAUCAGCUCCGAUUUGAUUUCAUUUAAGAAUCUAUUCAUGUAUUCCCAUGCAAAAGAGACACCUGAUCAUAUACAAAUGUAAGCAAGGUUUGAAUUAUUAUUUUAUUCAAAAAUAUUUGUUCGGGCUUCCAGUCAAUUUUCAGUCUACAAAUGAUCUGUUGUUAUAUACCUGCCCCCCAACCAUCCGCUCAAGAAACAAUUGGCACUCGGCUGAAUCUAGUUGAUGAUCCCUGGGAUAAAGGGAAUGGAUGACUCCUCUUUCCUCUGUUUGUUUUUGUUCUCUUCACCAGGAUAGUGAGAUGAGGGUGAAGUCCAGGCACCAAAAGAAAGUACUAUCCGGUGAAACACUUCCGUUUUCUCUGUGCUAUGGUUUUUGACCUUCUUCAAUUGGAUGAUGGCCUCCUCCUGCAUGACACCUGUGCUACAUGCUGCUUCCUGUAUGCUUGUGAGGAAGACUCCUUCCGCCACCUCUGUCACCUGAGCCGCCUCCUGUAUGCUUCUGAGGAAGCCUUCUGCCAUCUGUCACCUGACAGACCACCUCCUGCAGACCACCUGAACUAAAUUCAGUAUCUGCUGCUUCCUCUGCUGGAGCUGGGACUACGCUCUCCUUCACUCUCUUGUUCUCUCUUUCUCAUGUUAAACUCCUACGUCUUCUUCCCUAUCCUCUACUUAAAAAAUAGACAAUUCAAGACUUUAAACAUGUUGAUAUAAAACAAUAACGAUGCACCUUUAAUUGCUUUGUGGUUGACUUAUUUUUCUACUUUGCUGUGCAUCUGUUGCAGAUUGAGGGGGUGGAUUCAUGCAAUUUAUUCUGGUAGGUACUGCCUUGGAGGACAGUGUCUUUCGUGAACCCUGUUGAAAGACAUUUUUUACCAGAAAGGUAUGUGACUGAAAUGUAUUUUUAUUGACAAAGAUGGGCAAUAAUCAGAGUAAAACACACUUCUAAGUGCCCCUCGCAGAGAGCGUAACCCCCUUUCUUCAGGCCCUCAAAGGACUUCUGCAGACUGAUGUCCCUACGCUUGAUGUUUCUCAGCCACAUCUUCCUCCUGAGUAAUUACAGAAGUGUGUAAAGGUUUAAUCUCACAUUUUAUUAAAUUUAGCUGGAUGUCCGUCUAUACUUAAGGUUUCCUGUUUUAUAGUUAAUUUAGUAGUGUAGUGAUUGCUAUGCUGUGGUAGUAUAUUGUAGUUUAUAGAUAGUUUAUGGUUAUGUCCUCUAUCCCUGUUAUUCACCCUCAUUUAAAAUAUAUAUAUAUUUAAACAGCAGCCAUUUUGUUUUUCUCUCUGUGAGAGAAAUGACUCCAGAAGUCAUAAGAAAGGCAGCCUUUCUUGCUACUCCUGUUACCAGUACCCAAAUGAGGACCUUACAUUCUUACUGAUCGUGUCUUGCUAUAGUUAGUAGUGUAAAUAGAUUCAUCCCUGUAGUCUGCAGACUUCUGGGGGCUAUGGUCACACUCCUCUUCAAUCAAAACAGACACUUCUCUCUGUGAGAAACUACCUUAACAACCAUUGCCUGAUUAGCAACACCCCCAUUAUCCCAUCUGUGGCACAAUGUUGUUCUUUGAGGUUUAACAGCUGUUGGCAUCCA
ensembl:lncRNA